AUGCGUGUUCAUACAGUCCUGGAGGAACUCUGUGGCAGGGAGUCCAAGACAACAGAUCAUCUGCUCUUUACCUGCUGCCGCGUCGCGCACGUCUGGUGUGCCCUUGGCGUCGACCGUGGCCUCCACUGCGGCGAUAUCUGGGAGGUCCCGUCUCCUCCUCUUGCACCUCAAAAGCACUGGCCUGCUGUGCGACUUCUCCUUGAGCGAAUUUGGAAUCAUCGGCACGAUGUGGUGUUCCAAAGCAAACGUCCUGCUGUCAGCCGUGCCGUCGCCGCUGCUGCCGGUGACCUCAAACUUUGGUCCUUCCGCCUGAAGCCUGAAACCGUGGAGACCUGUCAGUUUGGAGCCCAUUCCUCCAAAACCUGGACCUGUGAUCUCCCUGUAGUUCUGCUUAUUUCUUUUCCUGCCUGA
rnacentral:rRNA from 1 species